CGAGUGGCGGACGGGUGAGUAAUGUCUGGGAAACUGCCCGAUGGAGGGGGAUAACUACUGGAAACGGUAGCUAAUACCGCAUAACGUCUCAAGACCAAAGAGGGGGACCUUCGGGCCUCUUGCCAUCGGAUGUGCCCAGAUGGGAUUAGCUAGUAGGUGGGGUAACGGCUCACCUAGGCGACGAUCCCUAGCUGGUCUGAGAGGAUGACCAGCCACACUGGAACUGAGACACGGUCCAG
rnacentral:rRNA from 1 species